UUUCCCCCAAAUUUGGCAUGUAUGACGUUUAAAGAUUAUACCAACCAUUCACCAAGUUUGGUGAGGUACUUUUGAAUACUCUUUACACAACACCAUUUUAAAAGUUUAUGGUUGACCCUCGAGCAAUUUCGUACACGUGCGCGAUCCUUGGCUCCGCGGAAAAUGGUUUUAGAAAAGAUCUCUUACGGAAAAAACACCGCUGAAUCGAUGGAAAAUGUACAAGAAAGUAAUUUGAACCGGCAGUGAGAAAACGAGAUCGUCAGAUCAAGCGAAGGAGAAGUUGAAGAUGAGAAGUAAUCGAGCGACCUAACAAGGUUGCGUUACUACUUGGCCUGCGUCAUUACGCUCCUGGGGGCAGAGUGCGAUGGAGAAGUUGAAGAUGAGAAAUUAUCGAGCGACCGGAAAAGGCUUGCGGUUCAACUGUCUGCUGAGUAAUACAAUGGCCCUUGUCUUGGAUACAGCAAAAGUCUUACUUUCCAACUCUUUGCUGUUGCUGCGUCAAUUGAAGGGGAAGAGCGGCAAACUGUGUUGGUUAUUUGUCCUUUGAAAAGC
rnacentral:lncRNA from 1 species